rnacentral:rRNA from 1 species
UAGCUAGUUGGUGAGGUAAAGGCUUACCAAGGCGACGAUCUGUAGCGGGUCUGAGAGGAUGAUCCGCCACACUGGAACUGAGACACGGUCCAGACUCCUACGGGAGGCAGCAGUGGGGAAUUUUGGACAAUGGGGGCAACCCUGAUCCAGCCAUGCCGCGUGAGUGAAGAAGGCCUUCGGGUUGUAAAGCUCUUUCGGCCGGGAAGAAAUCGCAUGGGCCAAUACCCUGUGUGGAUGACGGUACCGGAAUAAGAAGCACCGGCUAACUACGUGCCAGCAGCCGCGGUAAUACGUAGGGUGCGAGCGUUAAUCGGAAUUACUGGGCGUAAAGCGUGCGCAGGCGGUUUUGUAAGACAGGCGUGAAAUCCCCGGGCUUAACCUGGGAACUGCGUUUGUGACUGCAAGGCUAGAGUACGGCAGAGGGGGGUGGAAUUCCACGUGUAGCAGUGAAAUGCGUAGAGAUGUGGAGGAACACCAAUGGCGAAGGCAGCCCCCUGGGUCGAUACUGACGCUCAUGCACGAAAGCGUGGGUAGCAAACAGGAUUAGAUACCCUGGUAGUCCACGCCCUAAACUAUGUCAACUAGGUGUUGGGUGGGUAAAACCAUUUAGUACCGUAGCUAACGCGUGAAGUUGACCGCCUGGGGAGUACGGCCGCAAGGUUAAAACUCAAAGGAAUUGACGGGGACCCGCACAAGCGGUGGAUGAUGUGGAUUAAUUCAAUGCAACGCGAAAAACCUUACCUACCCUUGACAUGCCAGGAACUUGCCAGAGAUGGCUUGGUGCCCGAAAGGGAGCCUGGACACAGGUGCUGCAUGGCUGUCGUCAGCUCGUGUCGUGAGAUGUUGGGUUAAGUCCCGCAACGAGCGCAACCCUUGUCGUUAAUUGCCAUCAUUUAGUUGGGCACUUUAACGAGACUGCCGGUGACAAACCGGAGGAAGGUGGGGAUGACGUCAAGUCCUCAUGGCCCUUAUGGGUAGGGCUUCACACGUCAUACAAUGGUCGGUACAAAGGGUUGCCAAGCCGCGAGGCGGAGCCAAACCCAGAAAGCCGAUCGUAGUCCGGAUUGCAGGCUGCAACUCGCCUGCAUGAAGUCGGAAUCGCUAGUAAUCGUGGAUCAGCAUGUCACGGUGAAUACGUUCCCGGGUCUUGUACACACCGCCCGUCACACCAUGGGAGCGGGUUCCGCCAGAAGUAGGUAGCCUAACCGCAAGGGGGGCGCUUACCACGGCGGGGUUCGUGACUGGGGUGAAGUCGAAACAAGGUAGCCGUAGGGGAACCUGCGGCUG